rnacentral:sRNA from 12 species
CCCAUGCAGUUCAUCGAGCAUGAAUAGGAUAUGCAGGAAAGUGAAAUCAGAAUUGGGAGUGAUGCCCCGCCGAAAAAUCAGAACGAAACCGAAAAAUUGAUUAGUACCGUGCCUAUUAGGUGGCAAUCAAAGUAGGGAGUAGCUAUGGACCACAGCAUAGAUCUACUGUGGUG